rnacentral:rRNA from 1 species
AACGAACGCUGGCGGCAUGCCUAACACAUGCAAGUCGAACGAGACCUUCGGGUCUAGUGGCGCACGGGUGCGUAACGCGUGGGAACCUGCCCUUAGGUUCGGAAUAACUCCCCGAAAGGGGUGCUAAUACCGGAUAAUGUCUUCGGACCAAAGAUUUAUCGCCUUUGGAUGGGCCCGCGUUGGAUUAGCUUGUUGGUAGGGUAAAAGCCUACCAAGGCGACGAUCCAUAGCUGGUCUGAGAGGAUGAUCAGCCACACUGGGACUGAGACACGGCCCAGACUCCUACGGGAGGGAGCAGUGGGGAAUAAUGGACAAUGGGCGAAAGCCUGAUCCAGCAAUGCCGCGUGAGUGAUGAAGGCCUUAGGGUUGUAAAGCUCUUUUACCCGGGAUGAUAAUGACAGUACCGGGAGAAUAGGCUCCGGCUAACUCCGU